GACGUAGGGUGCGAGCGUUGUCCGGAUUUAUUGGGCGUAAAGCGCGCGUAGGCGGCUUAGCAAGUUAGAGGUGAAAGCCCGAAGCUCAACUUCGGAAUUGCCUUUAAAACUGCAAAGCUAGAAUCAUGGAGAGGUGAGUGGAAUUCCGAGUGUAGAGGUGAAAUUCGUAGAUAUUCGGAAGAACACCAGUGGCGAAGGCGAACUCACUGGACAUGUAUUGACGCUGAGGUGCGAAAGCGUGGGGAGCAAACAGGG
rnacentral:rRNA from 1 species